rnacentral:rRNA from 1 species
UACGUAGGGGGCAAGCGUUGUCCGGAUUUAUUGGGCGUAAAGAGCGUGUAGGCGGCCUGACAGGUCUGCUGUGAAAACUCGAGGCUCAACCUCGAGAUGUCGGCGGAAACCGUCUGGCUAGAGUCCGGAAGAGGAGAGUGGAAUUCCUGGUGUAGCGGUGAAAUGCGCAGAUAUCAGGAGGAACACCAAUGGCGAAGGCAGCUCGCUGGAACGGUACUGACGCUGAGGCGCGAAAGCGUGGGGAGCGAACAGG